UUUACUUUCUUGGCAUCCCAUUCCAGAACUAUGCCCCAAAAAGAAAGCAUGUAUUGUAUUAUUAUUUUUCUAUAAAUCAUCUUCAUAUUGGUGACAUAUUCGUAGUGAAUGCGAAGCUGUCGACCAAGAUUGUCAGUUUGUGAAUGAACUGGUAACAAAUGUUUCGCGGUUAUUGCUUUAAAUUUUAGGCUUGGAAGACUUACCCUUUUUAACAGAGGGUUCUAGUUGUCACUAGCAGGUAUUGUUUUGGCGAAAGUUACCAAUCAAGAUUGAUGCACAUACUUGAAUUGAUUUCAAUUUGCUAACAGAAAGAUCUCUUAAUAAUAUAUGUGGUGUGUUCUUAUUCGUUUUCUUCUAGCAAAGAUUGUUGCAUCUAGUGGUGUUUUAGCGACUCAAUGUCUAUCGACCAUGAGAAGUAAAUCAAACUAAAUUGAUUAAUUGCAGAAAUUCUUGCAGAGCUGCUUAACCAAGUUCAAUUCAAGGAUUUUAAGAAGCUUAACCCGAUAGAGCAGUAGUUUAAGCAUAGAAACUGGACAAUGAUAUAUACGCGUCUGAGUUAUUCUAUGUAUUGAUUUGAAUAUGUAGCUCCUGAGACUGCAUAUCAAGUGUUGGAGGAAGGCAUGGUUACAAUAUUGCUUGAACCCAAAGCACAUAUUUUGAGAUUGUUUCAUGCGUCCGUACAAUAUACAGUUUUCAAUGUUCUUUUGCUAUUCCCCCGAGGAUGGUCACUUUUGGGUUUGCAAAAUAAUAGGUCUCCUUUAUAAGUAUUUAUUGGUGUAAGAGUUACAAGUAUAUGUCCCAAGUACGCAUUGUGUAUGAUUUAAAUAAAACUUGGAAUCCAAAUUUUGGGACUUAUCAACUGUAAAUUAUUCUCUAUAUUAGAUUCUUUGAAUUGUUUGUAUUA